rnacentral:rRNA from 1 species
GUAGGGGCCUAGCGUUGUCCGGAAUUAUUGGGCGUAAAGAGCUCGUAGGCGGUUCGGCAAGUCGGAUGUGAAAUCUCCACGCUUAACGUGGAGGGGCCAUUCGAAACUGCCGUGACUCGAGUCCGGUAGGGGAGUGUGGAAUUCCCGGUGUAGCGGUGAAAUGCGCAGAUAUCGGGAGGAACACCAGUAGCGAAGGCGGCACUCUGGGCCGGUACUGACGCUGAGGAGCGAAAGCGUGGGGAGCGAACAGGAUUAGAUACCCCGGUAGUCCUAGCCGUAAACGAUGGACACUAGGUGUUGGUGGUAUCAACCCCGCCAGUGCCGAAGCUAACGCAUUAAGUGUCCCGCCUGGGGAGUACGGCCGCAAGGCUA